GCGCUUGCUUUGGCAGCACACAAACUAAAAUUGAAAUGAUACAGAGAGGAUUAGCAUGUCCCCUGCACAAGAAUGACACACAAAUUCUGGGGGUAAUCACUAAAGGAU